rnacentral:rRNA from 1 species
ACACUCCUACGGGAGGCAGCAGUGGGGAAUAUUGGGCAAUGGGCGCAAGCCUGAUCCAGCCAUGCCGCGUGAGUGAUGAAGGCCCUAGGGUUGUAAAGCUCUUUCACCGGUGAAGAUAAUGACGGUAACCGGAGAAGAAGCCCCGGCUAACUUCGUGCCAGCAGCCGCGGUAAUACGAAGGGGGCUAGCGUUGUUCGGAUUUACUGGGCGUAAAGCGCACGUAGGCGGACUAUUAAGUCAGGGGUGAAAUCCCGGGGCUCAACCCCGGAACUGCCUUUGAUACUGGUAGUCUUGAGUUCGAGAGAGGUGAGUGGAAUUCCGAGUGUAGAGGUGAAAUUCGUAGAUAUUCGGAGGAACACCAGUGGCGAAGGCGGCUCACUGGCUCGAUACUGACGCUGAGGUGCGAAAGCGUGGGGAGCAAACAGGAUUAGAAACCCCAGUAGUCCCA